rnacentral:lncRNA from 1 species
UGUUUCUGUGAAAUUGUGGGCUUUGACCUCAGAACACAGUUUAUCUUCCAGACCAAUCUGUUUUAAACCGUAUUAUCUCGUUUCAUUCUUUGUGUUUCUCAACUACUUUUGGCUAAGCCCCACUCUCCUCCGGGUGCAUCUUUUGGAAAUGAAAUGAAAACUUUGGAGAUGGAAACCUUCUGAAGCCUGGUGACUGUCUCACAGGUCUUACAUCUUCGUGUCUUUUGCACUUUAUACGACAAAGACAGGCAGAGGGUAUUAGCACAGACUUGAAAAGAGAAAAGAUGACAGAAACAUAAAACUUCAUCCCCUGAUGUUCUACACUGGAAGUAGCUCCAAUCUUUGGUAUACGCUGUGUAUCUCUAAUCUGUAUAUAUUUGGUCCUGAUCUAAAACCCAAACAUCUAAAUGGAAGUGCUACAACUGUCUUUGGAUCAAGCCAUCUGAGAUCAGGAUGCUUUGGGCCUUGUCCAGUGGAGUCCAAUCAAAUGAUGAAGGCAUGAUUGUUUGACAAUCCAUCCUUCACGGAGUUCAAUCUAGCUGCAGGCUACUGCCUCCUCACACGUACAUGAAGAAGUGAUGUAUUUGGGUGCAUUACUGUACUUUAAAUUACUGGAACAGCUGCAUUUUCAUUGGAACUACAGCACUUGAUCAAGAGGUAUGUGACCAAGUUUCCUGCUUUGUCAUCAUGAGAAAGGGUUUGGUCCUAUGUGUAAGUGUCCUGUGUAUGGCUAUAUGUAAUUCUGGAUUGGGAGCAGCCUUCCUGAUUAACCUGGACUACCAUGCAGCCAUGAUCUGAAAUUUGUAGAGCCAGAAAAUUCAACAAGUAAAUAAUGAAAUAACUCCUGUGCAUGUUGGGCCUUGUAUCUGGGAAUGUGAAGUCCUAGCUUCAGCUAUGUAUAUAUUGCACAUGCGGAUUAAAUGCAAACAUAAUACAUGUAGCAGGGACCAGGGCUCAGGACUGAGUACACGUAUGGCUUUCAAACUGCUUAAACUCUCACUCGUAAGCCAUGGCACAUCAUACACAGGAGUGUAUCACUUACAAUGAAGGUGGAUUUGGUGGUCACAGUCACCUGCAGAAUCUAGAAAAGCCAAGGAAACUGCACACAGUAAACUAAUGCCUGGCACGUUGGUGGGAGUCAGGAGGGGAAAGCAUUUUUAAUAGCUGCUAUUCCAUAAUGGAAUUAUGGUACAUAAUUCAU